UGUGUUCCACUGCUUUGCCAAUUAUCGUGUCA
rnacentral:piRNA from 1 species